GGCUCGUAGGUCUAGGGGUAUGAUUCUCGCUUAGGGUGCGAGAGGGUCCCGGGUUCAAAUCCCGGACGAGCCC
rnacentral:tRNA from 1 species